GUGCUCAUUUUAGCAGUACAUAUACUGAAAUUGGAAUGACACAGAGAUGAUUAUCAUGGACCCUGUGCAAGAAUGACACACAAACUCAUAACUCCUUCCAUAUAUUU
ensembl:snRNA U6 U6 spliceosomal RNA